GCUGUUAAUCCCACCUGAGGGACGACGGACUACUUCCGGGAUUCCGAUGUCGGCCUAGCCAGCGAGCUAACUAGUUUGCUAGCGGCUAAACUCAAGGAGGACCGUAACGACCCACACCCCACAGGCACGACAGCUCACCUGUUCGGCAUUAGGGGCAUCUAACAGCCGACCCACAGAGCCAGUCGGUAAAAGACAACAGAAGGAUAGCGGGAAAACGGGGCUAAAAUGCAUCCGACUACAUAACACCACUGCUGCACAUGACUUUGUUUAAGAAAUGCAAAAUGGGAAAGGAGGUCUAUCUGCAGAAAACUUGCAGGUGGGAGAUGUCCUUUCACCCAGAACCGGCCAAGUACGAUGACGCUUUGAUGACAUACAAAGGACUUCUUUUUGGAAUGAGUUGAUUUCGUCCUCAUAACAACACAAAGACUGGAGGCAAGGGUCUCGCAAGAACUAAGGGUCUCUGGCUGAGCGACUGUACUUCGGAAAGUCAAAGAUAGACACAUUUUAAAAACAUUUUUUAUCAGCUUUUUAAAUAUAUUUUGCAGCUGGACGUUUUUAAAAAAAAAAAAAAACUUUUUAUUUGUUGUUAAGCAGCUUUCCCGCAACUGGUUUAGUUGUUUUUCCCUGCUGACUUAGUUUGAGCGCUGGAACUGUCCCUUCUGCCGCCAUCCUCUUUCUUCCACCCACCCAGUGCCUAAAUAAGCCCUCUCGGGACAAUCGCAGAAGUCAUCAGCAGCUGCUGCGCUCAAUCCUCUGCCUGUUCUCCUCUAUGUGCUUCUGCUCUCGGCCUGCUGGCUAUCCACCCACUACCUCUUUAUUUUCUGCUCUUUUGUUUGUAUAUUCAUUUUCUCUGAGACGCAUAAUCAGAACCUAAGCACAGUUGGCGAGCAUUAAUGUAAAAGCUAAGUUUCACGAGUCAACUGAAACCUAGUUUUCCUGUGUGCGAGUGUCUCUGCCUUGGUGUUCAAGCACUGAAGUUUAACGGUUACACUUGUGCCAGAAAGCGGACCGAUUAGAUUUAUUUAUAUCGUCGCACCAAGUACAGUUACAUUAAAGCCAUACACAAAUAUUUAUGAAUUACCUACACAUAUUUUUGUAACGCAUUGCUCUUGUAUAGCUUUCUUUUUAUAAGCCUCUAUUAAGAUUAUGCACACAUUCAAUAUUUACAACAAGCUGUAUAUUACUGUAUAAAAAGAAUCUCUGAUUAUAUAAGUGCCAGAAGACUGUCUGGAUACAGAGAAUCCUUCAUGUUUCCACUCAGUUGCUGCUUUGCAUAGUGUUUUCUUUUCCAGUCUGUAGUCAUGGCCCCUCCCACCAAACAAACUCCAUAUUCGCCAUUUUGACCUGUAAAGCAGCCUUGACAGUAGGUAGUCUUUAGAAAUCUACCUCUCUCUCUCUCUCUCUGUCUUCGUUCCGUCUCACUCUGAUGCCUGGGUUCAGUGGUGGGGGGGUUGGGGGAGGAGUAGGUGUCCCUGCUUCUGCUCCUCCCCGUCCAUUUCGUCCCAGCCGAUAUGUCCCGGUGUCCGCAGCCACCACGUUCCUCGUCGGAUCCACCACCCUCUUCUUCUGCUUCACGUGCCCAUGGUUGUCAGAGUAUAUCUCCUUUGUCAUUCCCAUCUACGUUGCGGUGAUCUUCCUCUUCACCCUCGCCAACUUCUGUAUGGCAACUUUCAUGGACCCUGGAGUCUUCCCCAGAGCCGAAGAGGAUGAGGACAAAGAAGAUGAUUUCCGUGCGCCGCUCUAUAAGACGGUGGAGAUCAAAGGGAUCCAGGUGCGCAUGAAGUGGUGCUCGACCUGUCGCUUCUACCGCCCGCCGCGCUGCUCGCACUGCUCAGUCUGCGACAACUGUGUAGAGGAUUUUGACCACCACUGUCCCUGGGUGAACAACUGCAUUGGUCGGAGGAAUUAUCGCUAUUUCUUCCUCUUCCUGAUAUCACUUACCACCCACAUCAUUAACGUGUUUGGCUUUGGCUUGGUUUAUGUCCUGCACCACCGCCAUCAGCUGGACACGCCACACGCUGCUGUAACUAUGGCUGUAAUGUGUGUGGCUGGUCUGUUUUUUGUCCCAGUCACGGGCCUCACUGGGUUUCACAUGGUGCUGGUUUCUCGCGGCAGGACCACAAAUGAACAGGUGACGGGGAAGUUUCGGGGAGGUGUUAACCCUUUCACCAACGGCUGCACAAGGAAUAUUUCUCAUGUGCUCUGCAGCUCCCAGGCCCCCAGAUACAUGGGCCGGCAGCGGAGCCCUCUCACGAUGGACGUGCAGCCGCCGUUCCUCAGACCGGCACUCACUGAGGCUCAGCUGGAGGCCAAGGUCCUGGACAACGGCAUUCAGAAUGACCGACACAGCACCAGGUCCAAAAGCAGUCUAGAUCAGAUAGAGAGCCAGUCAGCUGAUGCAGAGCCUCCUCCUCCUCCACCUCCUCCAAAGCCAGAGCUUCGGUACCCUGGUCUGCCCCGUGCUGACACUGAGGAGAGCAGCUUGUUGACUGAAGCUCCUCCCACACCGUCAAUGUUCAAGUACCGACCAGCCUUCAACAGCCCAGGAAGGAAUCACACUGCACUCACACACCUCAACAAGGUACAUACACCUGCACAGAUGAUCCGUGGGGAGAGUCUUGACUCUCCGUCUCCCACCAUCCUCCAGUCCAGCCGUCAGUCUAGCUACCGCUCGGAGCCGAGCAGCCUGGAUGGGACCACAGUGGUGGGGGGAGGUAUGGGGGCGCGCAGGGGGGGAGGGGAAAGGGGUGAGGGCCCCGGAGGCCCUGGCGGGACUGCUGGGAUGAUGUCGGGGGGCAUGUCAGGCUACUCCCUGACUGGACGCUCCUACACCUCCUACCCGUCCUCUCUGGUUCUGUCCGCUGGCGGCUCUCGCUCCUCCAGCCUGCGCUCAGCGCAAACGGCACAUAACCCGUUGACCACGCUCCAAUCAGAGGGCACCACAGACACCAGCUACAAAAGCCUGGCCAAUCAGACGCCUCGGAAUGGCAGCCUGUCCUAUGACAGCCUCCUGACGCCAUCCGAGAGCCCAGAGUUUGAGUCCGCUGUUCAUGAGCUGUCGCCGCAGAAGCCUCGUGCUCCGUUUCCCUCGGCAACUGUAACCGGCCAGCAUGACAGGGUGUCGCCCAGCAGCCCACUGCAGGGCUACACGUCGCCCUUCCUCUCAGCUCAGAUCGCCCAGCAGAGGGAGGGGCAGCUCCUCCAGGGCUCUGCCACUUUCUCCUCCCCCCACAGGGCUUACCUGCGUGCCGUCAGCCCGCCCCCCCACUCCCCCUCUGGGCUUCCUGAGGUCCAGCACCUGCUCCAACAUAACCAGGACUCUUCCCGAGCCCCUCGUCACCUUUCCUCCUUAUCCUCUUCCCCUCGCUCAUUCGAGCCCCCUAUCUCCCCGCCACCUCGCGGCCUCUCCCUUGGCAAGUCCCCGUCUUACAUAGCGGAGGUAGGGCCUCAGCACAAGCCUCGGCCUGCAGGUGGAGGCAUUGUGCUGGGGGGAGGAGGAGCUGGAGGAGGGCCACAGGCUCCACAGUGAGUAAUGAUCCGUCUCCAGACCCUUCAGCCUGCUACCUUUCCUCCUAAUUCUCUGCUUCUUUCUCCCUGGUUUGUCAGUCCUCCUCUUCCUCCCUGAUCUGUAUCCACCUCUCGUCCAGUCUUGGCCAAUCACACCACAUCGAAACCAGGUGGCGGAGUGAAGAAGGUGACAGGCGUCGGAGGGACCACUUAUGAGAUAUCGGUUUGAGGGACAGACAUCCUUUGCUGUCCAUCACAGGAGGGGAAACGUCCCCUGACUACUUCCACUUGUCUCUGACCUGAGCUGAACAUUAUUCACGACUGCAGGCUCCUGAAAAAAUACUUUUUUUCCAUGGCAAAAGACUAAAGGAGCAGACCUGUCUGGUACCCACUUUGUUAUAUUUGUAACGCCACUGGCCAAUCCGUUCAGAUUUGAACAAAGAGUAUAAGGGGACCCCUCAUUUUUCACAGGAUCAAGUCGUCUCCAUUCAGCCACUUUGUGAGCCAUAGACUGUACGAUCAAGGCUGGGUAUAAACGUCUGCAGAACACAGUUAUCCAAUGAUUUGCUGUUUCAUUUGGUAUAUUAGCACACAUUGACCACUGUGUCUGACCCUUCAGGAGAGGAUGGCCUUUAUCCAGUGGACCGCGAGGAUUUGUUGACCAAUAGAAACAUCUUCUUCACUUUCUGAAUGGACCACACAACCUGUUUAACCAUAAGUCAUGGAAAAAGAGUCCAACCUCUAAACACAGUAUCAUUUUAGUUUUAUAAAUCUUUUUUUUUAAAUAUUGUUUUAUAUAAAUGUGUAAAAUCUUGCAGAUUAUUAUUGGGUCAACUUGUCAGGUAUUGAAGAUGACUAUGUAUGAGGGUGGCAGAUGUACUGUGUGUAAUUAUUCAUGAAGCGAUUUCAAAUCAGUUGCCGGUUUGUAUUUAAUGGCUGCAUCAGCCGCUCAUGAGCUCUUGCUGGAAAUGUCAUCGUUCAAAGAGAAGGAUGGUCGUUUGGUGGACAGCUGAAAUGGCAAAUAAUUGAGCUUAAUUUUCUGAAAGCCACAAAGAAAUUCAGUAUCACGGUUUUCGGCACAAGCAUCUUUGUGGAAUGUACGCUUGUAAUGUUGAUUCUAAAGACAUUAUGCAAAAUCUGUUAGUAGCUUUAAGACCAUGGUAUGUCUUUUUGGUGUUUUUUUAUUUCAUUUUCUGUAAUGCUCGGUCAGUCUAUCAAGAUGCUUGCAGAACCUUUACCAGAUGGCCAGCGAGGGAAGGGCUUAUUUAUUUCAUCAGACCUUGUAGUUUUGGACACGAUUUCAAACCAAUCUACUCGUUUCAGUUUUUUUUAAUUUGAAUGGAUAGAAGAAUAUAUUAAUAUUUUUAUGAAAAAUCAUACUAUAAAUGAUAUUGUGAAUGCAAUAUGCCACUGAACAGAAAACAAAGAAGUGGGGACUGGUUUUCAAUUAGCGACGCUGUUCAUUGCUCUUGUUUUGCCUUGAGACCAUUCAUAGUGAAUCAUGCACAUUUACAUUUUUUCUAUUGGUUUGUAUUUUUUUACACUUUUCCGAGGAAAAAAUAUGUACCGCAGAUUUUUUGGAUUGACUUUAAAACGUCUGUAAAGGUACAGUUGAUUAUUUUUUAACCCAGAGCCAUGUUGAAGAGUAAUUACAGAAAGGGAGGUGUGCUUGAAUUUUAGGAUUGGGCAUUAGAGUUAUGGUUUUAGUUUUUCUAGCAGUAGAAUGUCAAAGCUGGCUGAAUGUGGCACGUAUUUGGGGGAAAGAACACGCUUGUAGCACACAAGUAUCAUUGUUUAACCCAAAUGGCCGUGAUUUUCAUCCCUACCAGUUCCCUAUGUCGUUGGUGUGCAUGUGACUUUUGUUUGUCGUGCUGAAUGCUUCUCUGGCGUGUGUACUUGUGAGAAUAUUCUCAAAAGCCCACCUGGUUGACGUGUGGGUGCUAACAAGAAAAGAAGCAUUAAUGGCACAGGAGAUUAAGAGAACCUGUGUUACUUUUCUUCCUGCUCUGGCCGAGGAUGAUGGCCACUGAACAAUUUGAAACUAUGUGAGAACAGUAUGUAUACUUCUGUGUGAGAUAAAAUAUCGUGGGCUGUGGCGAAUGGAACGAGUUUCACAAAUAUCUGUAACGAGUACAUUAAAGACAUUUCCAAAAUGGCCUUAUAAAGAAUUUUUAACAAGAUGUCUUCUCAGAAUAAAAAAGGUAAUAUUGAUAA